GGAUUUAGCAAAGGGACCAGGAACGAUGACAGUUGGCGGGGUGUCUGGCGAGGGGCCACAAAGGGAUGAAGUUCGGAGUAAGGGCCGGAGGAAUCUUGCACUGAUGGCAGUGGUCCCCCUGGAGUGGCAGUGGGGGGCUCACCAUGUGCAGGAACCCUGGAGUCCGGCCGAGGUACCCCUGCGUACCCCUUGGCGAGUUCUUUGUUGGUAAACUUCAUCUUGGCGGGCAUCGACAAUUCUUGGACCGCCAAAGUCCUGAC